ACUACUCUGAGCGGUGGAUCACUUGGUUCGUGGGUCGAUGAAGACCGCAGCAAACUGCGCGUCGUAAUGUGAAUUGCAGAGCACGUUGAACAUUGACAAGUCGAACGCAUAUUGCGACUUCGAAUUGUUUCGAAGUCACGUCUGUCUGAGGGUCGGAUA
rnacentral:rRNA from 1 species